CUUUGAGAAGAUCUCAUAGCAGAUAACCUGAUGACUAUGUGCCUAAAGGCUGGUCUCACUCCCACUGUGCCCCUGCAACAGCACUGAGUCUAUUUCCAGGAAGCUGGAGAUCAGAGCUGAGAACUUGCACCAGACCACAAGCCUCGCCGUUGAGAAAGCAAGCCAACUCACAGUUUUUUGGCAUCUCCGAGAGCCUGCAGCAGUAAUUCAGUUUCUUCAAAGGGUUGUGGAUUCUCUCAGCUUUCCUGGUGUGUUCCUGAGGUAGUUCUUGGAGCAAAAGUUCACGAUGUGAGUCUCCACACGCUGCUCUGUCUGUCUGAGCCGGGGCUGCAAGCUACUUCUGCCUCCUAUUCAUCAUCUUAAUCCAAGAAUAUCUCCAUUCUCUUCUUACAUUGUCAUAUUAUAUCAGUAAUGACUUCCCUAAAUGUAUCAACUGGCCAGGCAUUGUGGCUCAGGACCGUAAUUCCAGCACUUUGCAAGGCUGAGGCGGGAGGAUCACUUGUGCUUGGGAGUUCGAGACCAGUCUGGGCAACAUGGUGAGACUCUGUCUCUACAAAAAAUAAAAAGAAAAAUAACUGGGCGAUUACACCACCACAUUCCAAUCUGGGUGACGGAGUGAAACUCUGUCUCAAAAAAAAAAAAAAGAAUAAAUAAGUGUAUCAACUAAGUCUCAUCUUUUCUCAUAGUUUCCUUCAUUUUUCUUUUUGCCACAUUUGAGGAGUUUGCACUGGUUUUCUAAAUGCCAAUGUACAUUCUGCUGUGAACUCCACCAAAUUCCUAUCUGCAUGUGGCAAAAAACGAGGUGGAAGGAGAAAGGAAAGUUAACAUUGGUAUUUUGUACUCAUUUCCUUCUCUAGAAAGCAAUGAAACAAGAAUCUGGUCAUGGGAUUUUACCAGUGCAAAGGAUUAAUCCACCCAAUUGAUGGCCAAGAAACCAACCAGUGAGAGCAGGAAGCAAGAACACCUCGAGACAGUUAACUCACAAUUAGGUAUAACUGAAAAUCUCAGGUAAAA
rnacentral:lncRNA from 1 species